rnacentral:rRNA from 1 species
ACUAAAGGCCAUGCCACCUUAAGAGCACCCAACCUCGUCUGAUCUCAGAGGCUAAGCGAGGCCUGGUUAGUAUUUGGAUGGGAGACACCGCUGGGAAUAUUAAGUGCCGUG